rnacentral:rRNA from 1 species
UACGUAGGGGGCUAGCGUUGUCCGGAUUUAUUGGGCGUAAAGAGCGUGUAGGCGGCCAGGUAGGUCUGGUGUGAAAACUCGGAGGCUUAACCUCGAGAUGUCAUCGGAAACCAUCUGGCUAGAGUCCGGAAGAGGAGAGUGGGAAUUCCUGGUGUAGCGGUGAAAUGCGCAGAUAUCAGGAAGAACACCAAUGGCGAAAGCAGCUCUCUGGGACGGUACUGACGCUGAGACGCGAAAGCGUGGGGAGCGAACAGG